rnacentral:rRNA from 1 species
GAUGAACGCUGGCGGCGUGCCUAAUACAUGCAAGUCGAGCGAGCAGAUAAGGAGCUUGCUCCUUUGACGUUAGCGGCGGACGGGUGAGUAACACGUGGGUAACCUACCUAUAAGACUGGGAUAACUUCGGGAAACCGGAGCUAAUACCGGAUAACAUUUGGAACCGCAUGGUUCUAAAGUGAAAGAUGGUUUUGCUAUCACUUAUAGAUGGACCCGCGCCGUAUUAGCUAGUUGGUAAGGUAACGGCUUACCAAGGCAACGAUACGUAGCCGACCUGAGAGGGUGAUCGGCCACACUGGAACUGAGACACGGUCCAGACUCCUACGGGAGGCAGCAGUAGGGAAUCUUCCGCAAUGGGCGAAAGCCUGACGGAGCAACGCCGCGUGAGUGAUGAAGGGUUUCGGCUCGUAAAACUCUGUUAUUAGGGAAGAACAAAUGUGUAAGUAACUGUGCACGUCUUGACGGUACCUAAUCAGAAAGCCACGGCUAACUACGUG